rnacentral:rRNA from 1 species
CCCUUAGACGUUCUGGGCCGCACGCGCGCUACACUGACCAGUGCAACAAGCAUCCGUCCUUGGCCGACAGGCUCGGGCAAUCUUUGAACGCUGGUCGUGAUGGGGAUAGACUUUUGCAAUUUUUGGUCUUCAACGAGGAAUUCCUAGUAAACGCAAGUCAUCAACUUGCAUUGAUUACGUCCCUGCCCUUUGUACACACCGCCCGUCGCACCUACCGAUUGAAUGGUCCGGUGAAGCCUCCGGAUUGGCGCGCACCUCGGUGCCGCCGAGAAGUUGGCUAAACCUUACCAUUUAGAGGAUGGUGAAGUCGUAACA